CCUACGGGAGGCAGCAGUGGGGAAUCUUGCGCAAUGGGCGAAAGCCUGACGCAGCCAUGCCGCGUGAAUGAUGAAGGUCUUAGGAUUGUAAAAUUCUUUCACCGGGGACGAUAAUGACGGUACCCGGAGAAGAAGCCCCGGCUAACUUCGUGCCAGCAGCCGCGGUAAUACGAAGGGGGCUAGCGUUGCUCGGAAUUACUGGGCGUAAAGGGAGCGUAGGCGGAUAGUUUAGUCAGAGGUGAAAGCCCAGGGCUCAACCUUGGAAUUGCCUUUGAUACUGGCUAUCUUGAGUAUGGGAGAGGUAUGCGGAACUCCGAGUGUAGAGGUGAAAUUCGUAGAUAUUCGGAAGAACACCAGUGGCGAAGGCGGCAUACUGGCCCAUUACUGACGCUGAGGCUCGAAAGCGUGGGGAGCAAACAGGAUUAGAUACCCUGGUAGUCCACGCCGUAAACGAUGAGUGCUAGUUGUCGGCAUGCAUGCAUGUCGGUGACGCAGCUAACGCAUUAAGCACUCCGCCUGGGGAGUACGGUCGCAAGAUUAAAACNCAAAGGAUUGACGG
rnacentral:rRNA from 1 species